GCAGGGGGUAGUUAGGGGGAGGGAAGGUAUCAUAUAUAUGAGUGUAUGGUAGGUUCUGUACAAUAAAGUUAGUAACUGGUAGACAGUGUUAUAUUCCGGACGAAUUAAACAUGCACAGAAUUAGAAAGAAAAGGAAUUUAGUAAUCCACCUCUACAUGAAGCUACAGUGUUACCUGACAGGGGUUAUUGUUAAUAGAUCGUGUUAGCUAAUCAAUGAUUAAUAAAAAUAACUAAAUAUUGAGAAUGGAUGGGGGCAUGGCCCAAUAUCUCUCUUAUGAACUUUUAUAUGAAUAAUUA